UGAGAUUUCAGUUUGAUCAAUUUAUCAAUUAACGCGGUUUCUAAAUUAUUGAUAAAUGAUACAACGUACAGACAGGUUUUUAUAUGUUCUUUUCCACAGGAGAUAUCCCAACUGACGUGUGUUGAUUGGUUCAGUUUGAAGAAAUAUGAAUGGUGCAGAAUGCAGCAGGAAACACAAACAAAUGGUUCACAUAGAUUUUCUGGACUGAUUCAAAAAAAGAAAACAGCUGAUUGCAUUUCCAUUUUAAAGUUAAAAGUUUAUAUGUUUACACAUGUUGAAACAGAAGAAAAGGACAUGUAUUUGACAUAAUCUACUUGGAUUUCAUGAUGUGGAGGCGCCGGUGUUGGACAAGGUCAAGAAUCACAUCACAUCACAUCAGGUUAUAGUCCAACGGGUUUAUUUGAAAACGUGAGCAUGAUUGAAAGUUAUAAAAAUUGUGCGUGACAUAGACAGGUUGGAUGAGAAGAGACAACCUUCUUUAGUGGAGGGAUCAAUGAUCAGGGCAGAGAUUUAAGAUAAGAUUUAAGCAGAGAUAGAAUGCCUACAGUGUGGGAGCAGGCCAUUUAGCCCAGCAAGUCUUCACCAACCCCCCCAAGAGCAUAGCACUCAGAUCCACUCACCCCCUCACCCCACCGUAUC